UCUCUGCUGUGGUCAGGAAACUACUUUAUGAGUUAUGUAAAGAGAAGCUUGAAUGGCCAACAGCAAAGAAAAAAUAUUGAUUGCUGUGUGUGCUGUGAUGUUGGUGAGCUGAUAUCACAAGAGGAGAGAAGAGGCAGAGGUGGGAUGUAUAUCUCCACUCUCAGCAGCUCCAUCUAGGGGAGCAGAGAGGAGCCUGACUUCUUCUCAGGAGGCCAUGUUGCUACAGGGUCCAGUCUGACACCGGGCCUUGGUUUUGGAUAAUGGUGCCCAGAGGGCCACAGCACAGGGUAGCGCCCGGGGUCAGAGGAACAGGCAGAUUAAGGAGAGGAGGUGUUGAGGUUGUCACCUCGGGGUCUCCACCCACACAAGGAGAAGAUGCUGAGACCAGACCCUGCCAUCAUUCAAAGCAGAUGGCAUUUUUCUCAAUGUGUCAGGGCUUAUUUUUGGGAUGCAGCCCCUGGCAGGCCCUGGAUAGACUAGUUAUUAGGCAUGUACGCUUAUAAUUUUGCCAAACCACCAAGGGUUUGGACACAAACCCUGAAGCCUCAAACUGAAAGCCUUUCCUCCCUUUUUUUCUCUGCCUUCCUGUCAGAGCAUUGAGCAAAGGCAAAGGAAAUGAAGAUUGUGAGAAUGGCUUUACAUGAGAAAAGCUAAUGUGGUCUUGCCAAGCAGAGGGCUGCAUGCUGACAACUGUGUACUUCAAGUGCACUCUUGCUCUUGAGGUCUGGGACCCCUACUGGGUCCACACACUAAAGACUACAAACUCUGUCACUUGAAAUAUCUAUGAGAAAAACUUUUAAAUGCAUGUUUUAAUUUGUAAACUUGUUAAAGAAGAAACCAUUUAAGUUGAA